CUGAGCCGCUCCUGGAAACCAGGCGUGGGGCUGAGCGCUGGGGUGACCGUGGGAAGACCCUGUGGACCUAGGGGAACCCGAGGCUUCAGGCGGUGCCGGCUGUGGGGACUGUGGAUGGUGGCUGGGGAAGAGACCAGAGGAAGGGGACUGGCAUCAAGUAGUCCAUCAAUAUGAUUGACUACUUUGACAGACUUUCUUGAGCAUAAAACCAACCUUGCAUUCCUGGAAUAAA